rnacentral:rRNA from 1 species
AUUGAACGCUGGCGGCAUGCUUUACACAUGCAAGUCGAACGGCAGCGCGGGCUUCGGCCUGGCGGCGAGUGGCGAACGGGUGAGUAAUACAUCGGAACGUGCCCAGUAGUGGGGGAUAGCUCGGCGAAAGCCGGAUUAAUACCGCAUACGACCUGAGGGUGAAAGCGGGGGAUCUUCGGACCUCGCGCUAUUGGAGCGGCCGAUGGCAGAUUAGCUAGUUGGUGGGGUAAAGGCCUACCAAGGCGACGACCUGUAGCUGGUCUGAGAGGACGACCAGCCACACUAGGACUGAGACAGCGCCCAGGCUCCUGAGGGAGGGCGCAGUGGGGAAUUUUGGGCAAUGGGGGGAAACCUGGUCCAGCAAUGCCGCGUGUGUGAUGAAGGCCUUCGGGUUGUAAAGCACUUUUGGCGGGAACGAAAAGGACUGUGCCAAUACCACGGUUCGAUGACGGUACCCGCAGAAUAAGCACCGGCUAACUACGUG